rnacentral:rRNA from 1 species
CAGCAGCCGCGGUAAUACGUAGGUGGCAAGCGUUGUUCGGAAUUAUUGGGCGUAAAGGGUGCGUAGGCGGUUUGGUAAGUCUUGUGUGAAAUCUUCGGGCUCAACCCGAAGCCUGCACGAGAAACUGCCGGGCUUGAGUAUGGGAGAGGUGAGUGGAAUUUCCGGUGUAGCGGUGAAAUGCGUAGAUAUCGGAAGGAACACCUGUGGCGAAAGCGGCUCACUGGACCAUUACUGACGCUGAUGCACGAAAGCGUGGGGAGCAAACAGGAUUAGAUACCCCAGUAGUCCCUGUCUCUUAUAC